rnacentral:lncRNA from 1 species
UUAUGAUUUCAGAUUAUGAAUCACCAUGAAUUUAUGGGAAUAAAGACUAAUUCUCAUGUCUGGAGGAAGUACACCAUGAAUAAAAAUAUAUUAUUGCUAAACAGAUGUCAGAAACUAGUGGAGGAGUUGUCAAAGAACACCUGGCAUCUACCUCACCUACUAACACAUCAAAAAAAAAAAAAGAUGGACAGUGUUGAAGUUAUUCUAAAGAAGCUGAAAAGCAUCACAUUUACAGUAAGCAAUUUUGUUUCAUAAUUUUAUUCUUGUAUUUUGUUUUAAAAACACCACCUACACAGCUAAUGUUUUCCCCUUUCCCUCUGUCUUUGUUCUCUGAGCAAAUUCAUGAAAUUCCAAAAUUCACCAAAAUAUUCUGUUGAUACUGUUAUUUAUCAGCAAGGGAUCUGCACAGAUAUGUUAUGAACCAAGAGACUGAACAUAAUAAAUGUAUAUUAAACGUAACUGUUCA